UGUUGGUUCUCCCGCAACACUAACUUGUGAACUCGGUCAGGUCCGGAAGGAAGCAGCCGCAGCAGGCGAGGUGUGUGCCGGGAUGUAGCUGGCAGGGC
rnacentral:SRP_RNA from 33 species